UCAUUUGGUAUCAGAUUUUUGGCAUUUUGGGUGUUCUUGGUGGAUUUCUAAACUGAUCUCUAUUUUUUAAACUACAAACAUCAGUUUUACCCAGAAAAAUUUUUCGAAAAAAAUUAAUUUGAGUGGGUAAACGUUGUCCGAUUGAUCUGAAAAUUUACAUACAUAUUUUUGGCACUAUGAUUGAAUAUAAAAAAAUUAAUCCCGCAAAAAAAUC
rnacentral:lncRNA from 1 species